GACGAACGCUGGCGGCGUGCCUAAUACAUGCAAGUAGGACGCAGUUGCGAACGGGAGAGUAACGCGUAGGUAACUACCUAUUAGAGGGGGAUAACUAUGGGAAACGAUAGCUAAUACCGCAUACUAGUAGAUGGCCCUGCGUUGUAUUAGCUAGUAGGUAGGGUAAUGGCCUACCUAGGCAACGAUACAUAGCCGACCUAGUAGGCUGAUCGGCCACACUGGGACUUAGACCCGGCCCAGACUCCUACGGGAGGCAGCAGUAGGAACUCUUCGGCAAUGGGGGGAGCCCUUACCGAGCAGCGCCGCGUAAGUGAAGAAGGUUUUCGGAUCGUAAAGCUCUGUUGUUAAAGAAGCGGUACUCAACCAGAAAGGGACGGCUAACUACGUGCCAGCCGCCGCGGUAAUAC
rnacentral:rRNA from 1 species